CUGAAGUUUACAUAUGAACAUCCGGUUGUGUAUAUAAGCAUCACAGAGGCCGAACUAUCUUACAACUUGUCUGUUUCAACUUAUGACACUUACGAAAUGAAGGCUGCAGUUUUGUGUCUCCUCGUUGUCUGUUUCCUGGCUGUAGGUCAAGCUGACAUGGAGUGCCACGAAGGUGCCGUCUGUCCUAUGAACAACCGUGCGACCUGCAGGUUCGAAUGCUGGAAAAACAACAAGAACGAAGAGGAAUGCCUUGAGCGAUGGUAUGAGGGAGGUGUCCGCGCUGUUUGUGUUGUGUAAUGACAACACUUGAAGUGGGUUCUUGUUAGCGUGUUUGUUGUAAACAACAUUAAAGCAUUAUUCAGUACACAAA